rnacentral:rRNA from 1 species
UAACGGCGAGUGAAGCGGCAAGAGCUCAACUUUGGAAUCGCUCCGGCGAGUUGUAGUCUGGAGGUGGCCACCACGAGGUGUUCUAGCAGCAGGCAAGUCCUUUGGAACAAGGCGCCAGCGAGGGUGACAGCCCCGUACCUGCUUUUGCUAGUGCUUCCUGUGGCCCACCGACGAGUCGAGUUGUUUGGGAAUGCAGCUCUAAGUGGGUGGUAAAUUCCAUCUAAGGCUAAAUAUUGGCGAGAGACCGAUAGCGAACAAGUACAGUGAUGGAAAGAUGAAAAGCACUUUGAAAAGAGAGUGAAACAGUACGUGAAAUUGUUGAAAGGGAAGGGCUUGCACCCAGACACGGUUUCGGCCGGGCCAGCAUCAAGUAGAACGGGGUUAAAAGACCUGGGGAAUGUAGCUACCUCUUGGUAGUGUUAUAGCCCUUGGGUGAUGACCCCUGUUUUGCUUGAGGACAGCGGUCUCUAGGAUGCUGGCGCAAUGGUUGCAAGCCACCCGUCUUGAAACACGGACCAAGGAGUCUAACGUCUAUGCGAGUGUACGGGUGAAAAACCCCUGCGCGGAAUGAAAGUAAGAGGUUGGAACCCUCUCGGGGGUGCACAAUCGACCGACCCAGAAGUGCUCGGACGGGUUUGAGUAGGAGCAUAGCUGUUGGGACCCGAAAGAUGGUGAACUAUACCUGAAUAGGGUGAAGCCAGAGGAAACUCUGGUGGAGGCUCGUAGCGGUUCUGACGUGCAAAUCGAUCGUCGAAUUUGGGUAUA